CACAGGAAGUCACAGGUCGCAGCGAUCAUGCAGGACAUCAGCGUGGCUGCAACUGAAGCUCGCUGUAAGCACAAUGUAUUGUUUGUGGUAACGGUUUGGCAACUACAGCGAUUUGCAGCAGAUAUCUGAAACCAAGUUUUUUAUGGUUGCUGGCAAUUUAUUGAAAAUAUGUAUUCCUGAGUACUGAGCCCCUUUUUGGACCAAGAUUUUGAUUCAUAUGAGGAGCCCAGAAUGGAAAUUUAAGAGCUGCGAGGACGUGAAAUCCAGCUGGACAAUAAGAUUACAAACACAACCUUUGUGGGGCACAACAGCAUCCAGUUAAGCAUUUAUGGAUUCAACAAUAAAUUGUACAGUUGCUUGUUUUCAAGCACAUGCCAGCACAGCUGUCAUUAAAGAGGAGGUUACAGGUAUGGCCCCCAGCCAAUGUACAUUCGACAGAGAUUAUCAAUACUGGUUGCUUCCAUAAUGAGACUAUUGGCUUGC